CAAUAGUAUUGACCGAAAGUAAAAGAGAAUGUAGUUGAGUUAAAUCAAUAGUGUUAUCACAACUAACUGAAAUUACGAAGCCAAAAUCAUGACAUUGGGAUAAUCAUAAUAUACUCUGCGUGUGGAAUACAUGGAUUUAUACAACUUCAACAAGAAAGCGCACAGAAAAAAGAUGAAUACCUUCGUUGCUUUUAUUUAUACUUUAUUACAUUAAAUUACGUCUAGAUGAGAAUUUCCGUAGAUGAAUGUCUGUA